UACGAAGGGUGCAAGCGUUAUCCGGAUUCAUUGGGUUUAAAGGGUGCGUAGGCGGGGCGUUAAGUCAGUGGUGAAAUCCUGCAGCUUAACUGUAGAAUUGGCCAUUGAUACUGGCGCUCUUGAGUACGCUUGACGUGGGCGGAAUGUGCCGUGUAGCGGUGAAAUGCUUAGAUAUGGCACAGAACACCGAUCGCGAAGGCAGCUCACGAAGGCGAAACUGACGCUGAGACGCGAAAGCGUGGGGAGCGAACAGGG
rnacentral:rRNA from 1 species